rnacentral:rRNA from 1 species
CAGUCGCCACGGUAAUACGAAGGGGGCUAGCGUUGUUCGGAUUUACUGGGCGUAAAGCGCACGUAGGCGGAUUCUUAAGUCAGAGGUGAAAUCCCAAGGCUCAACCUUGGAACUGCCUUUGAUACUGGGGAUCUUGAGUCCGGGAGAGGUGAGUGGAAUUCCGAGUGUAGAGGUGAAAUUCGUAGAUAUUCGGAAGAACACCAGUGGCGAAGGCGGCUCACUGGACCGGCAUGACGCUGAGGUGCGAAAGCGUGGGGAGCAAACAGGAUUAGAUACCCCUGUAGCCCUGUCUCUUAUACAC